GACGAACGCUGGCGGCGUGCCUAAUACAUGCAAGUCGAGCGAAGUUUUUCUGGUGCUUGCCCUAGAAAAACUUAGCGGCGAACGGGUGAGUAACACGUAAAGAACCUGCCUCAUAGACUGGGACAACUAUUGGAAACGAUAGCUAAUACCGGAUAACAGUAUUUCUCGCAUGAGAGAUAUUUAAAAGUUGGUUAUGCUAACACUAUGAGAUUGCUUUGCGGUGCAUUAGCUAGUUGGUGGGGUAAAGGCCCACCAAGGCGACGAUGCAUAGCCGACCUGAGAGGGUGAUCGGCCACACUGGAACUGAGACACGGCCCAGACUCCUACGGGAGGCAGCAGUAGGGAAUCUUCCGCAAUGGGCGAAAGCCUGACGGAGCAACGCCGCGUGAGUGAAGAAGGAUUUCGGUUCGUAAAGCUCUGUUGUUAGGGAAGAAUGGAUAUGUAGUAACUAUACAUGUAAGAGACGGUACCUAACCAGAAAGCCACGGCUAACUACGUG
rnacentral:rRNA from 1 species